rnacentral:siRNA from 1 species
UGACUUGUGGAAACAUUGUGUCUC